AACCCGAUACAGGACUGGCGGAUUAGUGGGUUGAACCACGUGGACUGUAGCGGAGAUGAAAGCCGACCGCCUGGGCAUUGCAU
rnacentral:ncRNA from 1 species